rnacentral:tRNA from 1 species
UAGGCGGAUGCUCGCUGGCUGGAGCCUUUAGUUGUUAACUAAAAUUUUGUAGGAUCGAGGCCUACCCGUCUAG